GGUUCGAUGGCGUAGUUGGUUAUCGCAUCUGUCUAACAUUAGAGCUUGAGAGUAUCUCGUGUUACACAGAAGGUCCCCAGUUCGAACCUGGGUCGAAUCA